rnacentral:rRNA from 1 species
CGAGAAUUUUUCUCAAUGGGGGAAACCCUGAAGGAGCGACGCCGCGUGGAGGAUGAAGGUCUUCGGAUUGUAAACUCCUGUCAUUGGUGAACAAAGCCACAGGUUAACUGCCUUGUGGUUUGCUAGUAGCCGAAGAGGAAGGGACGGCUAACUCUGUGCCAGCAGCCGCGGUAAUACAGAGGUCCCAAGCGUUGUUCGGAUUUAUUGGGCGUAAAGGGUGCGUAGGCGGUGGAGUAAGUUGGAUGUGAAAUCUUGGGGCUUAACCUCAAAAUUGCAUUCAAUACUGCUUCGCUCGAGUUCUGUAGAGGAGAUUGGAAUUUACGGUGUAGCAGUGAAAUGCGUAGAUAUCGUAAGGAACGCCAGUGGCGAAAGCGAAUCUCUGGGCAGCAACUGACGCUGAGGCACGAAGGCCAGGGGAGCAAA